AACGGACUGAUCACUUAAAGACGAACUCACAAGUAAUGAACGCACGUGAUUGCGUUGGGAAAUGAUUGUGACCUUACCUGACCAAAGUUCUUUCUACUACACCUAACAACAAACUGGUCGACUAACUAGCCGAUCUAAACAUCUCGCUUCCCAAAUCGAUUCCUCUUCGGCUUCUGGCUUCACUAAUCCAAUAAUCCAAUGAAGCUUCUAUCUUAAUGGGGACUAAAUCUGUGAACAAGAGGUCCAACAACAAGCGAUCAACCCCGAAAGCAGACAUUGCUAUGCCCUCUCCAUCUCACACUUCUCAUUUCACUCUCAGAAAAGUACCACUCCUUGUUUUAUUCGUUAUGAUCUUUGGUAUUAUAGCUCUCUUAGGCAUUUCUCCAAUCACGUUAAGCAGCUUAGGAUCUGUUGAUCAAUCCUCCAAAAUUUAUGCUAUUCAAGUGGUCAAUGAGUUCCCUCACGACCCCAGCGCCUUUACUCAGGGUCUUCUUUAUGCAGGCAAUGAUACACUGUUCGAGUCCACCGGCCUGUAUGGUGAGUCAUCAGUUCGUAGAGUUGAUCUUCAGUCGGGGAAGGUUGAGGUUCUUCAGAACAUGGAUGCAUCUUAUUUUGGGGAAGGUUUGACUCUUCUUGGUGAAAGGCUGUUCCAAGUAACUUGGUUGAGAAAAACUGGUUUCAUAUAUGACCGAAAUGAUUUAAGCAAAAUUAAGGAAUUUACUCAUCAGAUGAAUGAUGGUUGGGGACUGGCAACUGAUGGGAAAGUUUUAUUUGGCAGCGAUGGAACUUCAACACUAUAUCAACUUGAUGCUCAAACAUUGAAAGUAAGAAAGAAAAACAUUGUGAAAUAUGAUAAUCAGGAAGUACGCUACCUCAAUGAACUAGAGUUUGUAAAUGGUGAAAUUUGGGCCAACAUUUGGCAGGUGGUGCUUCUAAGGUUUGCCUUCUUCUUAUGUAGACUGAUUGCAUUGCAAAGAUCUCACAGAAAGAUGGCACAGUUCUUGGAUGGAUUAUGCUUGAAAAUUUAAGGAAAGGAUUGAUGGCAGCUGGAUACAGGGGCAUUGAUGUUUUAAAUGGCAUUGCCUGGGAUAGCAAUAACAACCGUCUUUUCGUUACUGGAAAACUAUGGCCAAAGCUCUAUGAAGUCAAAUUGCACCCUGUUAAUAAAUAUGUCGACAGAAGACUGAUUAAGCAGCUUUGCUUACCGUAGUCUGCUACUUGCGCACUGUUAUUCGAGCUGGAUGACUGAAACCCGGGAUUAUAGAUGAAACCUGCUUUUGUAAAGGCAUUAGAGAACUAUAGCUGGCUUCUUUCUUUGGGACGUGUUCAUAUUUAUCCGAGACAAUUUUAAAUACGGAGUGAUGCGUAGAAUGUAUACAAAGCCAUUGUUUUGCUUCUUAACAGAACAAAAUGCGCAGCAAAUUGAAAUUUUGUUUGUGUUUCUCA